CGGGUACAACGAGUCGCAAGCUCGCGAGAGUAAGCUAAUCUCUUAAAGCCGUUCUCAGUUCGGACUGUAGGCUGCAACUCGCCUAUACGAAGUCGGAAUCGCUAGUAAUCGCGGAUCAGCAUGCCGCGGUGAAUACGUUCCCGGGCCUUGUACACACCGCCCGUCACACCAUGGGAGUUUGUAACGCCCAAAGUCGGUGGCCUAACCUUUAUGGAGGGAGCCGCCUAAGGCGGGACAGAUGACUGGGGUGAAGUCGUAACAAGGUAAC
rnacentral:rRNA from 1 species